AUACGUAGGGGGCAAGCGUUAUCCGGAUUUACUGGGUGUAAAGGGAGCGUAGGCGGCAAGGCAAGUCUGAUGUGAAAACCCGGGGCUCAACCCCGGGACUGCAUUGGAAACUAUUCAACUAGAGUGCAGGAGAGGUAAGUGGAAUUCCUAGUGUAGCGGUGAAAUGCGUAGAUAUUAGGAGGAACACCAGUGGCGAAGGCGGCUUACUGGACUGUAACUGACGUUGAGGCUCGAAAGCGUGGGGAGC
rnacentral:rRNA from 1 species